UUUCCGUAGGUGACCUGCGGAAGGAUGAUUAAAGAGAUAGGGUCUUCAUGGCCCGACCUCCAACCCUCUGUUGUUAAAACUACCUUGUUGCUUUGGCGGGACCGUCUCGGUCUCCGAGCGCACUAACCCUCGGGUUGGUGAGCGCCCGCCAGAGUCCAACCAAACUCUUGUAUUAAACCAGUCGUCUGAGUAUAAAAUUUUAAUUAAAUUAAAACUUUCAACAACGGAUCUCUUGGUUCUCGCAUCGAUGAAGAACGCAGCGAAAUGCGAUAAGUAAUGUGAAUUGCAGAAUUCAGUGAAUCAUCGAAUCUUUGAACGCACAUUGCGCCCCUUGGUAUUCCGAGGGGCAUGCCUGUUCGAGCGUCAUUACACCACUCAAGCAUCGCUUGGUAUUGGGAACGGUCCGUCGAAAGGCGGGCCUUCCUCGAAGACCUCGGCGGGGUUCAACCAACUUCGGGCGUAGUAGAGUUAAAUCGAACGUCUUAUAAGCUUGGUCGGAUCUCAUUGCCGUUAAACCUUUAAAUUUUCUAGGUUGACCUCGGAUCAGGUAGGGAUACCCGCUGAACUUAAGCAUAUCAAUAAGCGG
rnacentral:rRNA from 1 species